CAGUAGCGUAUAUUAAAGUUGUUGCAGUUAAAAAGCUCGUAGUUGGACGUCUCUUCAGAAGCUCUCACGAGUGUUCUGGAGAUCUGCCUACAGCUCCAUAUGGCGUUCACUCGUCGAUGGUGAAAUGUGGGCCCUUUACCUUGAGGAAACUAGAGUGUUUAAGGCAGGCUUCUGCCCGAAUACCGCAGCUGGGAAUAAUGCGCUCGAAAUGUCUUGGCGAGACACUUCGAUUUCAUUAAUAGGGACAGUUGGGGGCAUUCGUACUCAGCAGUCAGAGGUGAAAUUCUUGGAUUCGCUGAAGACGGACUAGUGCGAAAGCAUUUGCCAAAGAUGUUUUCAUUAA
rnacentral:rRNA from 1 species